GAUGAAGAACGUAGCGAAAUGCGAUAAGUAGUGUGAAUUGCAGAAUUCAGUGAAUCAUCGAAUCUUUGAACGCACAUUGCGCCUCCUGGUAUUCCGGGAGGCAUGCCUGUUCGAGCGUCAUUAAAAUCACUCAAGCUUAGGUUUACCUAUUGCUUGGUCUUGGAGAUGGAAGCCAAUUUAUUGGAAUCCUCUUCGAAAUUCAAUGGCGAAGACCCUUGCUCUCCCAAGUGUAGUAAUAACUUAUGCCACUGAAGGAAGCGAGAAAUCUUCUGCCGUAACCCCCAUAUUUUCUAUGAUUGACCUCGGAUCAGGUAGGGAUACCCGCUGAACUUAAGCAUAUCAAUAAGCGGAGGA
rnacentral:misc_RNA from 1 species